GAUUCAGCUUGACUUAUUUCCCGUUCCAAGGUGUGUUCCCCUUGCCCCAGGAUGCUAAGACUUUAUGUACUAGGAAUUCAGCUUGACUUGUUUCACGUUCCAAGGUGCGAUCCCUUUUCCAUAUGAUGCUACGGGUGAAUCUACUAAGGAUUCAACUAGACUUAUUUCUCAUUCCAAGGUGCAAUCCGAUUGCCCCGGGAUGUUAAGGGUGAAUGUACUAGGGAUUUAG
rnacentral:lncRNA from 1 species